AUGUUUAAAAAAACAUAUGCUGAGAACCUGCCUGCACUUGAAGGAAAACAGCAGUGGGAUAUUGUAGACCCUGGUUUCAAACUAAGUCCACCUGUACAGAACAAAGCUGCACCUGGCAGGCCAAGGAAGACAAGAAUUAAGCCAGCAAGUGAAGGAAAAAGACUUGGUCCUAGGAAGAGAAAAUGCAAGAGGUGUGGUGGCUUGGGUCACUUACUGAAAACCUGCAAAAAAGCCAUUGAUCCAGCAUUUGGUGAAGAAGAUGCACACUGGGGAGCUGACAAUGCUGAAGAAGACCCUCCUAACCAAAAUGCAGACCUACAUGAUAAACAACAAGAAGAAGAGGAGCCAUACAGUGAAGAUGAAGCUCCAGUGCAGCCUGUAGGUGAAGAUGAAGCUCCAGUGCAGCCUGCAGGUGCAGAUGAUGCUCCAGUGCAGCCUGCAGGUGCACAGGAUGCUCCAGUAGAGCCCCACAGUGAAACAAAUGAGACAGCAACACAAGCUUCCACAGUUGCAGAUGAAGUUCAAAGCACACCAAGGAAGAACUAUAAGAAGGCCGCAGAGAGAGGAGCAUCUCCAAUGGCUAUCAGCAAGAAGAGGAAGCUUAACACUUCUACAAGUCCAGAAGAAGAACCUUGCUCAGUUACUGGCAGCAAUGUAGAUGCAAGAGUUGCUGCAUGUGAAGAGCAAGUUCUCCCUCCAGUUGUUCCCCAAAUCCCUGUGAAACUGACUAGGAGCAGGGCUAGGGAGAUGACAAUCCCAGCUAGCAACACAAGGAGCAAGAAGGCAAAAUAUGGAAAAUGA
rnacentral:rRNA from 1 species